rnacentral:rRNA from 1 species
CAGCCGCCGCGGGAAUACGUAGGUGGCAAGUGUUGUCCGGAAUUAUUGGGCGUAAAGGGCUCGCAGGCGGUUUCUUAAGUCUGAUGUGAAAGCCCCCGGCUCAACCGGGGAGGGUCAUUGGAAACUGGGAAACUUGAGUGCAGAAGAGGAGAGUGGAAUUCCACGUGUAGCGGUGAAAUGCGUAGAGAUGUGGAGGAACACCAGUGGCGAAGGCGACUCUCUGGUCUGUAACUGACGCUGAGGAGCGAAAGCGUGGGGAGCGAACAGGAUUAGAUACCCGAGUAGUCCCUGUCUCUUAUAC